UACGUAGGGGGCGAGCGUUGUCCGGAUUUAUUGGGCGUAAAGAGCUCGUAGGCGGCUUAGCAAGUCGGGUGUGAAAACUCCAGGCUCAACCUGGAGACGCCACUCGAGACUGCUAUGGCUAGAGUCCGGUAGGGGACCACGGAAUUCCUGGUGUAGCGGUGAAAUGCGCAGAUAUCAGGAGGAACACCGGUGGCGAAGGCGGUGGUCUGGGCCGGCACUGACACUGAGGAGCGAAAGCCAGGGGAGCAAACGGG
rnacentral:rRNA from 1 species